UGGUUGCGGGACAUGGGGCCCCCGAUUUUUUGGCGGACGGGUGAGUAACACGUGGGUAAUCUGCCUGUAAGACGGGGAUAACUCCGGGAAACCGGGGCUAAUACCGGAUAAUAAGAGAAGAAGCAUUUCUUCUUUUUGAAAGUCGGUUUCGGCUGACACUUACAGAUGAGCCCGCGGCGCAUUAGCUAGUUGGUGAGGUAACGGCUCACCAAGGCGACGAUGCGUAGCCGACCUGAGAGGGUGAUCGGCCACACUGGGACUGAGACACGGCCCAGACUCCUACGGGAGGCAGCAGUAGGGAAUCUUCGGCAAUGGGCGAAAGCCUGACCGAGCAACGCCGCGUGAGCGAUGAAGGCCUUCGGGUCGUAAAGCUCUGUUGUUAGAGAAGAACAAGUACGAGAGUAACUGCUCGUACCUUGACGGUACCUAACCAGAAAGCCACGGCUAACUACGUGCCAGCAGCCGCGGUAAUACGUAGGUGGCAAGCGUUAUCCGGAAUUAUUGGGCGUAAAGCGCGCGCAGGCGGUCUCUUAAGUCUGAUGUGAAAGCCCACGGCUCAACCGUGGAGGGUCAUUGGAAACUGGGAGACUUGAGUGCAGGAGAGAAAAGUGGAAUUCCACGUGUAGCGGUGAAAUGCGUAGAGAUGUGGAGGAACACCAGUGGCGAAGGCGGCUUUUUGGCCUGUAACUGACGCUGAGGCGCGAAAGCGUGGGGAGCAAACAGGAUUAGAUACCCUGGUAGUCCACGCCGUAAACGAUGAGUGCUAGGUGUUGGGGGGUUCCACCCUCAGUGCUGAAGUUAACACAUUAAGCACUCCGCCUGGGGAGUACGACCGCAAGGUUGAAACUCAAAGGAAUUGACGGGGGCCCGCACAAGCAGUGGAGCAUGUGGGUUUAUUCGAAGCAACGCGGAGAACCUUACCAGGUCUUGACAUCCUUUGACCACUCUAGAGAUAGAGCUUUCCCCUUCGGGGGACAAAGUGACAGGUGGUGCCAUGAUGUCGUCAGCUCGUGUCGUGAGAUGUUGGUUAGGUCCCGCAACGGAGCGCACCUUUGACCUUAGUUGGCAGCAUCAGUGGCAACUCUAGGUGACUGCGUGACAACCGGAGAGGUGGGAUGACGUCAAUCAUCAUGGCCUAUGACUGCUACCACGUGCUACAUCAUGUAUCAAAG
rnacentral:rRNA from 2 species